ACAGAGGGGGCAAGCGUUGUUCGGAAUUACUGGGCGUAAAGGGCGCGUAGGCGGCCUGCUAAGUCGAACGUGAAAUCCCCGGGCUCAACCCGGGAACUGCGUCCGAUACUGGUCGGCUUGAAUCCGGGAGAGGGAUGCGGAAUUCCAGGUGUAGCGGUGAAAUGCGUAGAUAUCUGGAGGAACACCGGUGGCGAAGGCGGCAUCCUGGACCGGCAUUGACGCUGAGGCGCGAAAGCUAGGGUAGCAAACGGGAUUAGAUACCCCGGUAGUCCUAGCCCUAAACGAUGAAUGCUUGGUGUGGCGGGUAUCGAUCCCUGCCGUGCCGAAGCUAACGCAUUAAGCAUUCCGCCUGGGGAGUACGGUCGCAAGGCUG
rnacentral:rRNA from 1 species